rnacentral:lncRNA from 1 species
GAGGCAGUCUGAGGGUCUUCUCACAGAUUGGGCAGCUAUUCAUGGUGCAUCAUUUUUGCACUUACAAGAAUCUCCAGACUAGGGAAGAUAAAGAGAAUGCAGCCUGACACAAACAUGGCUGGGAAGAAUUGGUGCAUUUCACAGUCCCACUCGUUCAGGAAAUGGAAUCCAGAAUCAUGAUCCCACUGAAGACCUCACCCCUAUAGUACACCCAGAGAAUUCCUAUGUGCCUACGUGAAUCAUGUGACAAGCUGC